rnacentral:rRNA from 1 species
UAGGGAAUCUUCCACAAUGGACGCAAGUCUGAUGGAGCAACGCCGCGUGAGUGAAGAAGGCUUUCGGAUCGUAAAGCUCUGUUGUUGGUGAAGAAGGAUAGAGGCAGUAACUGGUCUUUAUUUGACGGUAAUCAACCAGAAAGUCACGGCUAACUACGUGCCAGCAGCCGCGGUAAUACGUAGGUGGCAAGCGUUGUCCGGAUUUAUUGGCGUAAAGCGAGCGCAGGCGGAAUGAUAAGUCUGAUGUGAAAGCCAACGGCUCAACCGUGGAAGUGCAUCGGAAACUUUCAUUCUGUAGUGCAGAAGAGGAGAGUGGAAUUCCAUGUGUAGCGAUGGAAUGCGUAGAUAUAUGGAAGAAAACCAGUGGCGAAGGCGGGUCGCUGGUCUGCAACUGACGCUGAGGCUCGAAAGCAUGGGUAGCGAACAGG